rnacentral:tRNA from 2 species
GGGGAAUUAGCUCAGCUGGCCAGAGCGCCUGCUUUGCAAGCAGGAGGUCAUCGGUUCGACUCCGAUAUUCUCCA